GAUGAACGCUGGCGGCGUGCCUAAUACAUGCAAGUCGAGCGAACAGACGAGGAGCUUGCUCCUCUGACGUUAGCGGCGGACGGGUGAGUAACACGUGGAUAACCUGCCUAUAAGACUGGGAUAACUUCGGGAAACCGGAGCUAAUACCGGAUAAUAUAUUGAACCGCAUGGUUCAAUAGUGAAAGACGGUUUUGCUGUCACUUAUAGAUGGAUCCGCGCCGCAUUAGCUAGUUGGUAAGGUAACGGCUUACCAAGGCAACGAUGCGUAGCCGACCUGAGAGGGUGAUCGGCCACACUGGAACUGAGACACGGUCCAGACUCCUACGGGAGGCAGCAGUAGGGAAUCUUCCGCAAUGGGCGAAAGCCUGACGGAGCAACGCCGCGUGAGUGAUGAAGGUUUUCGGAUCGUAAAACUCUGUUAUUAGGGAAGAACAAAUGUGUAAGUAACUAUGCACGUCUUGACGGUACCUAAUCAGAAAGCCACGGCUAACUACGUG
rnacentral:rRNA from 1 species